rnacentral:rRNA from 1 species
AUUGAACGCUGGCGGCAUGCUUUACACAUGCAAGUCGAACGGUAACAGGCCGCAAGGUGCUGACGAGUGGCGAACGGGUGAGUAAUGCAUCGGAACGUGCCCAGUCGUGGGGGAUAACUACUCGAAAGAGUAGCUAAUACCGCAUACGAUCUAUGGAUGAAAGCGGGGGACCGGAAGGCCUCGCGCGAUUGGAGCGGCCGAUGUCAGAUUAGGUAGUUGGUGGGGUAAAGGCUCACCAAGCCAACGAUCUGUAGCUGGUCUGAGAGGACAACCAGCCACACUGGGACUGAGACACGGCCCAGACUCCUACGGGAGGCAGCAGUGGGGAAUUUUGGACAAUGGGCGCAAGCCUGAUCCAGCAAUGCCGCGUGCAGGAAGAAGGCCUUCGGGUUGUAAACUGCUUUUGUACGGAACGAAACGGCUCUGGUUAAUACCCGGGGCUAAUGACGGUACCGUAAGAAUAAGCACCGGCUAACUACGUG